rnacentral:rRNA from 1 species
GUAGUCAUAUGCUUGUCUCAAAGAUUAAGCCAUGCAUGUCUAAGUAUAAGCAAUUAUACAGCGAAACUGCGAAUGGCUCAUUAAAUCAGUUAUCGUUUAUUUGAUAGUACCUUACUACUUGGAUAACCGUGGUAAUUCUAGAGCUAAUACAUGCUAAAAACCCCGACUCACGAAGGGGUGUAUUUAUUAGAUUAAAAGCCAAUGCCCUUCGGGGCUCACUGGUGAUUCAUAAUAACUUGUCGAAUCGCAUGGCCUUGCGCCGGCGAUGGUUCAUUCAAAUUUCUGCCCUAUCAACUUUCGACGGCUGGGUCUUGGCCAGCCAUGGUGACAACGGGUAACGGAGGGUUAGGGCUCGACCCCGGAGAACGAGCCUGAGAAACGGCUAUUACAUCCAAGGAAGGCAGCAGGCGCGCAAAUUACCCAAUACCGACUCGGUGAGGUAGUGACGAUAAAUACUGAUACAGGGCUCUUUUGGGUCUUGUAAUUGGAAUGAGUACAAUUUAAAUCCCUUAACGAGGAACAAUUGGGGGGCAAGUCUGGUGCCAGCAGCC